rnacentral:rRNA from 1 species
AACGAACGCUGGCGGCAUGCCUAACACAUGCAAGUCGAACGAGACCUUCGGGUCUAGUGGCGCACGGGUGCGUAACGCGUGGGAACCUGCCCUUAGGUUCGGAAUAACUCCCCGAAAGGGGUGCUAAUACCGGAUAAUGUCUUCGGACCAAAGAUUUAUCGCCUUUGGAUGGGCCCGCGUUGGAUUAGCUAGUUGGUAGGGUAAAAGCCUACCAAGGCGACGAUCCAUAGCUGGUCUGAGAGGAUGAUCAGCCACACUGGGACUGAGACACGGCCCAGACUCCUAGGGGAGGAGGCGGUGGGAAAUAUGGGAAAAGGGGAGAAGGCUUGAACCAGAAAUGCCGGGGGAGUGAUGAAGGCCUAGGGGUUGAAAAGCUUUUUUCCCCGGGAUGAUAAUGACAGUACGGGAAGAAUAAGCCCCGGCUAACCCCGUG